GAAGAUGGCUCUGUCUGGGGGGCUGCGGUGCUGCCGCCGGGUACUGUCCUGGGUGCCAGUGCUCGUUAUUGUCCUCGUCGUGCUCUGGUCCUACUAUGCCUACGUCUUUGAACUCUGCCUGGGGAAAGGAAAUCUGGACACAGAUAGGUACAGAAGGAAGACCAUGUGAAGACACAGGGAGAAGAUGACUAUCUACAUGCCAAGGAGAGAGGCCUUCAAAAUGGCCAAUCCUGCUGACACUUUUAUCUUGGACUUCUAACCUCCAGAAUUGUGAGACAAUAAAUUUCUGCCAUUUAGAGACCCAGUCUGUGUUACUUUAUUAUGGCAGCCCUAGCAAACUGAUACAAGAAUAUUAGGUUUCCAUUUGAAAAUCCAAAGUGUAGAAAUAUCUGCUUCUAACAAAAGCAAAAAUUGGCAAAUGGGAUCUAAUUAAACUGAAGAGCUUCUGCACAGCAAAAGAAACUAUCAACAGAGUAAACAAUCUACAGAAUGGGAGACAACCUACAGAAUGGAAGAAAAUUUUUGCAAACUAUGCACUUGAAAAAAGUCUAAUAUCCAGCAGCUAUAAAGAACUUAAAUUUAUAAGAGAACAUCAAAUAAUCCCAUUGAAAAGUGGGCAAAGGGCAUGAACAGACAAUUUUCAAAAGAAAACAUACCUGUGGCCGACAAAUGUGAAUAAAAGCUCAAUAUCACUCAUCAUUACAGAACUGCAAAUCAAAACCACAAUGAGAUACCAUCUCAGAAUGGCUACUAUUAAAAAGUCAAAAAAUAAUAGAUGCUGGUGAGAUUGUGGAGAAAAGGGAACACUUACACACUGUUGGUGGGAGUGCAAAUUAGUUCAACAAUUGUGGAAGACAGCGUGGUGAUUCCUCAAAGACCUAAAAACAGAAAUACCAUUC
rnacentral:lncRNA from 10 species